GAUGAGUAUGAAAGGUUUUCUGGAACCUACGUGAAUAACCGGAUACGGACGACCAAGUACACACUUCUGAACUUUGUGCCAAGAAACUUAUUUGAACAGUUUCACAGGUACUGUGGUCCUUUCAGAGGAAGUCAAGUCUCAGAAUGUUCCUCAUCCUUCUACUUGAUACUCCCGCCGAAUCCCCAUUUUCUUAUAUAUCAGCUUAAUGCAUGUAAUCAUACAAGGCAAGUUAGAGUCAGGUCUAGGCUGGAGCGAGGGUGCCUUAGGGUCACACAGUUCUGUACAGUUGGAAGGACGUCUUCUGUUUGUGAAGGAUGCUGUUAUCUAUUUCAUUCUCAUAUAGGAACCCGGUCUGUGGCUCUGCCAAUGCCACACCCGUAAUAAAUGGCGGAGCAGAUGCUAU
rnacentral:lncRNA from 1 species